rnacentral:rRNA from 1 species
AGUGAACGCUGGCGGUAGGCAUAACACAUGCAAGUCGAACGGCAGCACAGAGGAGCUUGCUCCUUGGGUGGCGAGUGGCGGACGGGUGCGGAAUACAUCGGAAUCUACUCUGUCGUGGGGGAUAACGUAGGGACACUUACGCUAAUACCGCAUACGCCCUACGGGUGAAAGCAGGGGACCUUCGGGCCUUGCGCGAUUGAAUGAGCCGAUGUCGGAUUAGCUAGUUGGCGGGGUAAAGGCCCACCAAGGCGACGAUCCGUAGCUGGUCUGAGAGGAAGAGCAGCCACACUGGAACUGAGACACGGUCCAGACUCCUACGGGAGGCAGCAGUGGGGAAUAUUGGACAAUGGGCGCAAGCCUGAUCCAGCCAUACCGCGUUGGUGAAGGAGGCCUUCGGGUUGUAAAGCCCUUUUGUUGGGAAAGAAAUCCAGCUGGCUAAUACCCGGUUGGGAUGACGGUACCCAAAGAAUAAGCACCGGCUAACUUCGUGCCAGCCGCCGCCGUAA